UACGUAGGUGGCAAGCGUUGUCCGGAUUUACUGGGCGUAAAGGGCGUGCAGGCGGUCUGUUAAGUGCAGGGUGAAAGCUCCCGGCUCAACUGGGAGAGGUCCUUGCAUACUGGCGGACUUGAGGGGGGUAGAGGAAAGUGGAAUUCCCGGUGUAGUGGUGAUAUGCGUAGAUAUCGGGAGGAACGCCGGUGGCGAAAGCGACGUGCUGGACCUCUUCUGACGCUGAGGCGCGAAAGCUAGGGGAGCAAACGGG
rnacentral:rRNA from 1 species